GCACUGCCGCUGUUUCCACACUAAGAAUACUCAUAACCUAUCCCAACCUGAGUGGACAUAUAAAUUCAGAGGGAAAAAUCACAAACUAUACUAUACCGAUACAGCUAGAUAUCAAGAUUCUAAGGACACAAUGUCUAAACUAAAUUACCCAACAAACAGUUUGAAUCAUGAAUAGAAUAUAGUUAACAUAACCCCCCAUGCAAACGGUCAUCACGUAUCAGCUAGUAAGAAAGGAGGGAACAAAUCUUGAUUAACAGAACAAUGGAGCACCAUCUUUAGAGAUUGUACAAACUGUAAAACAAAACAAAAAACGGUCAGAGUAAAAAAACAUGACUGGAUAUAUAUACAGCUGGAUAUCAAGAUUCUCUGGAGAAAUGCUUAAACUAAAAUACUAAUAAAAAAUGAAUCAUGGGCCAUUCAAAAACAACUUCAUAUAGAUAUAUACCCAACAAAGAGUUUGAAUCAUGAAUAUGCAAUGCACAUCGCUGACAUGACCCACCAUGCAAACGAUCAUCAUAAAUACCUUUGGAACCCACAACUCAACAUAAACAUGACAAAGACAAACAUGUAUACCAAAUAGCAUCUGAAAACAUAUCAGGGAAGAUAAUUUUCUGGCAGAACCAAGCAUGCGUAUGCAACUAUCUAAAUAUAUGUGCUAAACAGCCACUGGAAACAUUGCUAUAGAACAGACCGGAUAAAGCAAUUUCCACACAGAACAAUGCAUGCAUGUUUGCACAACCAAUCAAACACAUGUAUAGAAUAUAUACUGACAAACAAUUAGUCUAGAAAGACUAACUAUGCCGGAGCAAGUUGAUCAUGAAACUCCAUACCAAGACAUCUCCAGAUUUUUCCGGAAAUGAGAGUUCAGUAAGCUACUACCUUCAGCCUCCUAACUGAUUUGAGAGCAACAUUUAUUAGUUUUU
rnacentral:lncRNA from 1 species